UACGUAGGGGGCAAGCGUUGUCCGGAUUUAUUGGGCGUAAAGAGCGUGUAGGCGGCCAUGUAGGUCCGUUGUGAAAACUCGAGGCUCAACCUCGAGACGCCGAUGGAAACCAUGUGGCUAGAGUCCGGAAGAGGAGAGUGGAAUUCCUGGUGUAGCGGUGAAGUGCGCAGAUAUCAGGAAGAACACCUAUGGCGAAGGCAGCUCUCUGGGACGGUACUGACGCUGAGACGCGAAAGCGUGGGGAGCGAACAGG
rnacentral:rRNA from 1 species